AGAGUUGAUCAUGGCUCAGAACGAACGCUGGUGGCGUGUCUUAUACAUGCAAGUCGAGCGAGGCAGCAAUGCCGAGCGGCGAACGGGUGAGUAACGCGUAAGCAAUCUGCCCCAUAUCAGGAAAUACCCGUGCCAACGCGCGGUUAAUGUCCAGGAGAGUGGCCCCCUGCAUGGAGGGUUGACUAGAGAUUUAUCGGUAUGGGAUGAGCUUGCGUCCGAUUAGCUAGUUGGCGGGGCAACGGCCCACCAAGGCGACGAUCGGUAGCCGGCCUGAGAGGGUGAUCGGCCACAUUGGGACUGAGAUACGGCCCAGACUCCUACGGGAGGCAGCAGUAGGGAAUAUUGCACAAUGGGGGAAACCCUGAUGCAGCAACGCCACGUGUGGGAAGAAGCAUUUCGGUGUGUAAACCACUGUCAUGAGGGAAUAAGGCCCGCCUUCGGACGGGAUUGAAUGUACCUUGAGAGGAAGCACCGGCAAACUUCGUGCCAGCAGCGGC
rnacentral:rRNA from 1 species